GAUGAAGAACGUAGCGAAAUGCGAUACUUGGUGUGAAUUGCAGAAUCCCGUGAACCAUCGAGUCUUUGAACGCAAGUUGCGCCCGAAGCCACUAGGCCGAGGGCACGCCUGCCUGGGCGUCACACGUCGUUGCCCCCCCAUCUACUCCUUCGGGAUUGCGGGGGGGCGGAUGAUGGCCUCCCGUGCGCCUAGCCGCGCGGUUGGCAUAAAUACCAAGUCCUCGGCGACGCACGCCACGACAAUCGGUGGUUGCGAAACCUCGGUUGCCCGUCGUGUGCGUUCGUCGCGCAUCGAGGGCUCGAAAAAAUGCUCGGCUACGGCUGGGCUUUCAACGCGACCCCAGGUCAGGCGGGGUUACCCGCUGAAUUUAAGCAUAUCAAUAAGCGGAGGA
rnacentral:misc_RNA from 1 species